rnacentral:rRNA from 1 species
AUGCAAGUCGAGGGGAAACGGCAUUAAGUGCUUGCACUUUUUGGACGUCGACCGGCGCACGGGUGAGUAACGCGUAUCCAACCUUCCCAUGACUAAGGGAUAACCUGCCGAAAGGCAGACUAAUACCUUAUGGUCUUCACUGACGGCAUCAGAUGUGAAGUAAAGAUUUAUCGGUUAUGGAUGGGGAUGCGUCUGAAUAGCUUGUUGGCGGGGUAACGGCCCACCAAGGCAACGAUCAGUAGGGGUUCUGAGAGGAAGGUCCCCCACCAUUGGAACUGAGACACGGUCCAAACUCCUACGGGAGGCAGCAGUGAGGAAUAUUGGUCAAUGGGCGAGAGCCUGAACCAGCCAAGUAGCGUGCAGGAAGACGGCCCUAUGGGUUGUAAACUGCUUUUGUAUGGGGAUAAAGUCAGUCACGUGUGAUUGUUUGCAGGUACCAUACGAAUGAGGACCGGCUAAUUCCGUGCCAGCAGCCGCGGUAAUACGGAAGGUCCGGGCGUUAUCCGGAUUUAUUGGGUUUAAAGGGAGCGUAGGCUGGAGAUUAAGUGUGUUGUGAAAUGUAGACGCUCAACGUCUGACUUGCAGCGCAUACUGGUUUCCUUGAGUACGCACAACGUUGGCGGAAUUCGUCGUGUAGCGGUGAAAUGCUUAGAUAUGACGAAGAACUCCGAUUGCGAAGGCAGCUGACGGGAGCGCAACUGACGCUGAAGCUCGAAGGUGCGGGUAUCGAACAGGAUUAGAUACCCUGGUAGUCCGCACAGUAAACGAUGGAUGCCCGCUGUUGGUACCUGGUAUCAGCGGCUAAGCGAAAGCAUUAAGCAUCCCACCUGGGAGUACGCCGGCAACGGU